rnacentral:rRNA from 1 species
UACGUAGGGGGCAAGCGUUGUCCGGAUUCAUUGGGCGUAAAGAGCGUGUAGGCGGCCAGGUAGGUCGGUUGUGAAAACUGGAGGCUCAACCUUCAGAGGUCGACCGAAACCAUCUGGCUAGAGUCCGGGAGAGGAGAGUGGAAUUCCUGGUGUAGCGGUGAAAUGCGCAGAUAUCAGGAAGAACACCCGUGGCGAAAGCGGCUCUCUGGAACGGUACUGACGCUGAGACGCG